rnacentral:lncRNA from 1 species
CCAGCCUGCCUUGGCCAAGGCUCUUAAUCUUGCUUACCUUUGUGUCCUCAUUUAUAAACAGGGGAACUGAAAAACAGUACCUUCCUUUUAUAGUUGCUGUAAAGUAACCCAUAGGACAGACUCAACAAAUGUUAGCUUUUUUUUUUUUUUUAAGACAGAUUCUCGCUCUGUCGCCCAGGCUGGAGUUCAGUGGCACGAUCUCGGCUCACUGCAACCUCCACCUCCCGGGUUCAAGCAAUUCUCCUGCCUGAGCCUCCCAAGUAGCUGCGAUUACAGGUGCAUGCCACCAGCCUGGCUAGUUUUCUUAUAUUUUUAGUAGAGACGGGGUUUCACCAUAUUAACCAGGCUGGUCUCAAUCUCCUGACCUCAGGUGAUCCGCCUGCCUCGGCCUCCCAAAGUGCUGGGAUUACAGGAGUGAGCCACUGCGCCAGGACUUUUUUUUUUUUUUUUUUUUUUUUGAGACAGGGUCUGGCUCUGUCACCCAGGCCGGACUGUGGACUGCAGUGGCGCAAUCUCGGCUCACUGCAAGCUCCGCUUCCCGGGUUCACGCCAUUCUCCUGCCUCAGCCUCCCGAGUAGCUGGGACUACAGGCGCCCGCCACCGCGCCCGGCUAAUUUUUUGUAUUUUUUAGUAGAGACGGGGUUUCACCUUGUUAGCCAGGAUGGUCUCGAUCUCCUGACCUCAUGAUCCACCCGCCUCGGCCUCCCAAAGUGCUGGGAUUACAGGCGUGAGCCACCGCG